rnacentral:lncRNA from 13 species
CAGGAACCAUGCACAUAACCUCACAAUUUAAGGCACGCUGAGGACGCCUUAUGCCAUUCCAGGCUCUUGUGUAUAUUAUUGUGGAGCUACCCUGUUCCUGGCUUAGAGGACCAGGAGAAGGGGCAGCGGAGCCACCUGCUGCGUGUUGGAGGCUGCAGCGUGCGGCACUGUGGUUGGCCUCGCUGCGGUUUUUCAGGCUUUGCCCGCCCAGCUGUACCAAGCCAGGCUGGAGGAGGAGGUGAAGGAGUCGUCACCUGUGAAACUCCUGGCAAAUCAAAGAAGAGUAGACUGAGGAUCAAAAGCACAGAGGGAUGUCUGUGGCUAUGGCAGCCUCUCUGCAGAAUCAGGGAAAGAAAAAUGGAGAAGCCAGUGGAAAAGAAAAGAAAUGUUCAGGCAGCAUGUGGACAAGAAUCCAUGAAUUGAGUCUGGUGAAAAUGCCGGAAGGAGAGAAGAGCUAGAAAGAGCUACAUAGGUGAAUGGAAAACACGCUGCAGAGAGUAUAUCAUCUGUCACUUGAAUCUCCUGGGCUCUGGAUUUUUGAAACUCGCAUUUCUGAGAAGUGAAACGUAAAGGUGCCCACAUUCUGAGAACUGUAAUGGCAUUUCAAGGGGAGGAAAAUUGAACUUACCUGGGACCUCACCAUCUGUGAGCCAUCAUUCAUUGCUUUCUCCUCUAUGCUCUCCUCCUGAAAAAAAUGGCAUUCUGAGAAGGCAUAGUUAGGAAAAAGAGAAGCACCUUGUUAAUACACGAUAUGAAGGCUGUCUGACCUACCCUCUGCGGGAGAACUGAGCUCGUUCGGGAAAAAACCGGACCACAGGUUAGAAGAAAGUCUUAAGUUCAGGCUUUAUUGAGAGGAAAGAGCCUCCGGGCGGACCAGCCGGGAAGAAGAGGAAAAUGGUCGCCCCGCUCAGAGGAGCAGGGUUCUUUUAUAGUGGGCUGAAGGGCCGGGGGAGUGGAGAAGCUGAGAGAGCUGAGGUGGUGGGCAACGGUUGGUCAGUUUGAAAUGCCGGGCAGGGAAGCUGGGGAGUGCUGAUGAGGCAGAAGCUGGGCGGCGGGAAGCUGGGCGGGAGGUGGCUGCGGCCGGGCGGGAAGGCUAGAGCGGUAUGUAGAGUGAGAGAUAAGGGAGCCUCUUUGUGGGGGAGGGAAAGAGAGCUUUCACGAUAGGGGCAGAGUUUUCCAAACAUUCCCGACUCCUUAAAAGGAAAGAAGAGGCCAGGCGUGGUGGCUCAAGCCUGUAAUCCCAGCAUUUUGGGAGGCCGAGGCGGGUGGAUCACGAGGUCAACAGAUCGAGACCAUCCUGGUCAACAUGGUGAAACCCCGUCUCUACUAAAAAUUACAAAAAAUUAGCUGGGCACGGUGGUGCGUGCCUGUAAUCCCAGCUACUCAGGAGGCUGAGGCAGGAGAAUUGCCUGAACCCAGGGGG